rnacentral:lncRNA from 1 species
GUACCCACAAAAACAAAACAACAAAAAGAGUAAGCAUGCCCUCACUGAAUUCAAACAGCAUGACAAGAGUGACAGAGGCGACUGGAAAGAGAGCCUAUCUAGAGAGGGGACACUCCCACUAGCUCAGUCUGCUUGUCUACUCAGAGAAGUUGCUAAAAAAAUGACAAAGCCUGGGAAGUUUCAGCAAUAAAUUGGAUAUCCAAGUUUUUACUCCCCCCACCUGAGACAUUUUCAGAAUUCAGUUGCUACUUUUUUUUUUGGCUUUUGGUUUUUCAGGCCACACCUGUGGCGUAUGGAGGUUCCCAGUCUAGGGAUUGAAUCCAACCUGCAGCUGCCGUCCUACACCACAGCCACAGCCACGCAGGAUCAGAGCCAUGUCUGCAACCCACACCACAGCUCACGGCAACACCGGAUCCUUAACCCACAGAGCAAGGCCGGGGAUGGAACCUGUGUCCUCAUGGAUCCUGGUCGGGUUUGUUAACCACUGAGCCACGACAGGAACUCCUUGGUUGCUUCUUUGCUCUCUGUACAGGGUAUGUGGUAUGAGGGACCUAUGUGUGCUUUGAUUUCUUUUUCUUACCCCUUUGGUUCUGUAUCCAUUUUUAUUUUCUAUUAAAAAAAUUUAAAAUUGAGAUAUCAUUGACGUUUAACAUUAUGUAAGUUCGAGUACAGUCUGUUGAUGUGAUACAUUACACACUCCAGUAUGGUCAUUGCCAUAGUCCUCGCUAGCAUUCCUAUCACACCAUUUAAUCCUCUGUUCUUUAGAAAUUUUUUAUUUAAUAAUUACAAGACUUUUCAGUUUCUUUUAUAUUUUAUUUAUUUAUUUAUUUAUUUAUUUAUUUAUUGUCUUUUUUGCCAUUUUAUUAGGCCACUCUCGUGGCAUAUGGAGGUUCCCAGGCUAGGGAUUGAAACGGAGCUGUAGCCACCGGCCUACGCCAGAGCCACAGCAACACGGGAUCCGAGCCGCAUCUGCAACCUACACCACAGCUCACGGCAACGCCGGAUCUUUAACCCACAGAGCAAGGCCAGGGAUCGAGCCUGCAACCUCAUGGUUCCUAGUCGGAUUCGUUAACCACUGUGCCACGACGGGAACUCCUUUUAAAGAUAUUUUAAUUGAAAUAUGGUUGAUUUACAAUGUUGUGUUAGUUUCAGGUGUACAGCAAAGUGAUGUAUCUUGAGAGUCUUUUCCAUUAUAGGUUAUUAUAAGUUAUUGAGUAGAGUUGCCUGUGCUAUACAGUAGGUACUUGUUGGUUAUUAAUUUUAUGUAUAGUAAUGUAUAUAUUUUAAUCCCAAACUCCUAAUGCAUCCCUUCCCUGUUUUCCUCUUUCAUAACCAUAGGUUUGUAUUCUCUGUCUGUGAAUCUGUUCUGCUUUGUAAAUGAGUUCAUUUGCAUCAUUUUUUUAGAUUCCACAUUUAAGUGAUAUCAUACAGUAUUUGUCUUUGUCUGACUUACCUCACUUUGCACAAUGCCCUCAGGUUCCAUCCAGGUUGUCAAUAAACAGUAUCUACCCAGCUCCUUCUGUGGCUGGUCUGCACACUGACCUGCUGUUGUUUGUGGGGAUGUCUCCUGCCCUGGCUGCACAGGACACGUCCGUGUCGUCCGAGGCCCCUUCGGAGUUCUUUAAUUCAUUAAUUAAAUUAACAAGAGUCAACCCUCUUUGUGGAGUUGCUCACGCAGCUCUCCACUGACCUGGGUGGAGGAGGUGACAAGGCCAGGACAGAGCCAGCCCACCUCCAAGGUCCUUUCCCUCUUGAUCAGCACCGCUUGUUCAGAGUAGCUAAUUUUUGGGGAGCGAUGAAUAUGAAUUAGCCCUCCUGGCUUACGCGUCUCUCUAGGAAGAGAAGACCCAUUUUGAUAAGAAGCCUGUAUGUGUAACUACUACAUUGAAAUAUUCGGUGAUAGUUCUAGACGUGAUAUUUUCCUGGUGAUUUCUAAAGACCCCAACAGGUAUUUAAUAAGUUUCAAUCAUUCUGGUCACUUUCCCACAAGCUACGUGAAGAAUAUGAAUCAGGCGAGGCUGCCAGGCACAGCUCUUGUCUGGCGGUGAGCUUCACAAUGAGAUGGUUAUUGGAAACGGAGAGGAAGGAGUGGAAAAAAGGUGAAAUGGGAAAUGGGAGUUUUCUGGAUAGGCUAAUCCAAGGUGUGUGGUACUGCACACAUGCAGUCAAGUGUUAAAUUUUUAGAUUCCCCUAGACUGUGUCAACACGAAGGAAAAUCUCUUUAUGUGGUAGCAAUGAUGCCAUGAUGUAUUGUUUGGUGACACACUAAACCCCUGGGGGCUGAUACUCUCAUGGCUUCGAGUGCUGCUUCUCCCUCUGCAGGCGCCGCUCAGCUCCCAGCUCAGAGCUUGUAGCUGAUCAGAGACCGGCAGCAUUAGGCCCCUGGGGCGUAGCUUCUUGUCCAGCCACUAAAUGAACACGUCCACAACCAGCCUUGUUGCCUCUUCCCCCAGCGCAGCAGCUCCUGCUUCCAGUUGCAGGGGUCACAGACGUCACCUUUCCCCUUGCCCACCUUCGGUUUUACAACGUGCCCUCUACCCAAGGAGCCCGUCCCAGUCCUACUUCUAUCCCCCAAGACAAAACUGAGGUCCUUACACUUGCAUUGUUACAUCCACACACACAACUGGGGUGUGUGUGUGUGUGUGUGUGUGUGUGUGUGUCGAUCCUAUCUAGGCUCUAGUGAGUGGACUUAUAUCUUGCAUGCCACUUGCUUUUUGUCCCUAGCUUAUGAUACCUAGCUAAGUGCUAGGCACAGCAGAUAAACAAUACCCAUUACUUAAAUAAACUGUCAUGGAAAUAUGAAGAACCUGUUCAGAGCAACUCAGAAUAUUUAAGAAAAAGAUUAUAUGAGAGAGAUAAUCUCUGUUAAUACAGAUUCUAGAAAAGCUGCUCUUUGCCUAGUUUGGCCCACCCUAGGUAACCAUAUCUCACUUUAACAUAGAUAGCAUAUACUGGCUAUUUUAAUUAAACAAUUUUUUUUUCCUUCUUUUUAUGGCGACACCUGUAGCAUAUGGAAGUUGCCAGGCUAGGAGUCGAAUCAGAGCUGCAGCUGUAGGCCUAUGCCACAACCACAGCAACACCAGGUCUAAGCUGCAUCUGCAACCUAUGCAGAAGCUUGUGGCAAUGCCAGAUCCUUAACCCCCGGAGUGAGGCUGGGAAUUGAUCCUGCAUUCUCAUGGAGACUAUGCUGAGUUCUUAACCUACUGAGCCACAGUGGGAACUGCUCCACUGGCUAUUUUAAAAAGCAUGAAUGGGAGUUCCUACUGUGGCACAAUGGGAUCAGUAACAUUUCUGCAGUGCCAAGGAUGUAGGUUCAAUCCUGGGCCCAGUCAGUGGUUUAAAGCAUUCCUCCCUGUCACAGCUGUUGCUUGGAUCUGAUUCUUGGCCCGGGAACUCCAU